rnacentral:piRNA from 1 species
UGAUUCUGAAUAAAGGCAUUGUUUUUAAGC